rnacentral:rRNA from 1 species
UGGUGGAGUGAUUUGUCUGCUUAAUUGCGAUAACGAACGAGACCUUAACCUGCUAAAUAGCUAGGCUAACCUUCUGGUUGGUCGCCAGCUUCUUAGAGGGACUGAUAGCGUUUAGCUAUUGGAAGUGUGAGGCAAUAACA